rnacentral:misc_RNA from 1 species
GAUGAAGAACUUAGCGAAAUGCGAUACUUGGUGUGAAUUGCAGAAUCCCGUGAACCAUCGAGUCUUUGAACGCAAGUUGCGCCCGAAGCCAUUAGGCCGAGGGCACGCCUGCCUGGGCGUCACACGUCGUUGCCCCCCCAUCUACUCCUUCGGGAUUGCGGGGGGCGGAUGAUGGCCUCCCGUGCGCCUCGUCGCGCGGUUGGCAUAAAUGCCAAGUCCUCGGCGACACACGCCACGACAAUCGGUGGUUGCGAAACCUCGGUUGCCCGUCGUGUGCGGUCGUCGCGCAUCGAGGGCUCGAAAAAAUUGCCGGGCUCCGGCUCGGCUUUCAACGCGACCCCAGGUCAGGCGGGGUUACCCGCUGAAUUUAAGCAUAUCAAUAAGCGGAGGA